CUCGGUGGCGAUGGCGGAGGGGUCACACCCGUUCCCUUUCCGAACACGGAAGUUAAGCCCUCCAGCGCCGAUGGUACUGCUCGGGAGACUGGGUGGGAGAGUAGGACGCCGCCGGGG
rnacentral:rRNA from 1 species